rnacentral:rRNA from 1 species
UACGGGGGGGGCGAGCGUUGUUCGGAAUUACUGGGCGUAAAGGGCUCGUAGGCGGCCAACUAAGUCAGACGUGAAAUCCCUCGGCUUAACCGGGGAACUGCCUCUGAUACUGGAUGGCUUGAGAUUGGGAGAGGGAUGCGGAAUUCCAGGUGUAGCGGUGAAAUGCGUAGAUAUCUGGAGGAACACCGGUGGCGAAGGCGGCAUCCUGGACCAACACUGACGCUGAGGAGCGAAAGCCAGGGGGGCAAACGGG